AUGUUUAGGCAGUAUGUGACAACUGAGUUCACCCAAUAUUACUCGUAUCUUACAGACGGCAUCAACGACGGCAACGGCCUCAGCGCCGGUGCACAAACUGUUUCGGAAGUGAAUGCAGCUCCUCCCGAAAGUCGGCCCCACCCACCAUCGGAGUCCAGCUAUCCACCAGACCUUCACAAAUCAUCACGAAAUGACGACAGGAGGGCACGGGAGUCGGGCCAACGGGAGCACGGCCACCGGUCAAACCACCGCCACAACAACCACAGACACCGCUCCCCUGAAAAGAAGAACAGGAGCAAGGGGCACAGCAAGGACAGUGGAACCUCAAAGCCUCACAAGAGGAAGGGCGACAAGAAGAGGUCCAGCACGGAUGACUCACACCAUCACCACCACCACAGUCAAAACCAGAACCACCACCGGAGGCACCGCUCCCCAGAGAGGCGCAGAGCUCGGAGCGCCGAGAACACUUUGGACAGUCGAUACGACCAGAGACACGGUCGCUCACCGGAUAGACGCCAUCAUCGCCACUCUUCACCUCGCAGACACAGUUCACCUCAGCGUUCACCCCACCGAUCCGGUAAUCGCCGCAGUUCACCUUACCGCCGUAGAUCCCCCUACCGUUCCCCUCAACGAUCCAGAUACCAGUCUCCCUCGAGACGUCCUACAGCUUCCUCAAAUAAACCCUACAACGGUGAGUUGGACAGGGGGCUGGAUGUGACCUUAAAAGAACCUCCUCCUCCAAAACCUCCAUCCCGAUCCGAGAGCAUUCCAUAUUUGUCGGCAUCCCUGGAUCAGCUCGAUCUGGAAGAUACCCUUCCAAGAAAGCCACCCAGCUACCUUGACGACCUUUCCCCUAUGGACCAAGCCUAUCGUGACUCAACCCUUUUCCGUGGGGCUUCUCGCGGCAACACCCUUCCCCGUGUUCGGACGCCUGACUCGGAUUCAGCCUUUCAGAACUACAACUCAUUAUUGAGGGGCCGCUCCCCAGUGAGAAGCGGGGGCAGACAGGAUGGAUACCGUCGACUCGAGUCUCCGGUUUCAAACUCGUACCGGACGAGGAGUCUAGGUCGAGACCUGUCUCCCAUCAGAGGUUACCGCGAUGAGGAGGAAGAGGAGGUUGGAUCUCAGCUGAGUGAGUAUUAUAGCACGCUCAGAUCCAAUUACAGUAGAGCUAACAACAAUGUACCUGAGCCGAGGAGGAAGGCCUACAAAGACAGCCCCAAAGACCUCAGCAUCUGA
rnacentral:lncRNA from 1 species